rnacentral:misc_RNA from 1 species
UUGAUUCAUUUGUUUAUGAUUCCACUCAGACAUGCUAAAGAUAGAAAUACAAGAGUUUAUUUGUCGGUCCCUCGGCGGGCGAACCCGCCGAAGCAACGGUAGACAGGUAUAGUUCACAUUGGGUUUGGGAGUUGUAAACUCGGUAAUGAUCCCUCCGCUGGUUCACCAACGGAGA